GUCGCUGUCAUCAUCUUCUUCAUCAGACUCUUCUUCCUCCACGAGCACUCGACCUGGAGUGGAAUUAAAAACGUCCACAGUCGAAUGCAGCAGGACCUCCAGGAGCUUGGCAGCAUGGCUCUCCUGGUCAUCCCCUGGCUCUUCUUCCAGUACCUUGGAGCAAAACAAAGAGAAAGCAAACAUCCAAAAAUUGCAGUCUAAAAGAGUACAGACAACAAUAUUCACUGGUGGAGUGGCUCUACUGUGUUUGCAGCUGGGCCCUGCUACCGUGGGGACACGUCAUUCAAUGACAUGCGACCAAUGAUCUACCAAUCAGAUGAGGAGCAGUGGGUAAGGUGCUAUGAAAGUAAAUACGAGAUGAACUUCGCGGGAAAAAUGAGGCAGCCCCCCCCAAAAAAAAUUCUGGGUUGUUUUAGACAGGUACAUCAAUCAAGGAA